AGUUUCCUGGGUCUAAUUCCCCCCCCCCGCUUUUUUUUGGGGGGGGGGGAGAUGGGAACCACAUCAGCUCUUUUCCAAUCCUCUGGUAGUUUUUGGUGCUCCAGGAUUUUUUUAAAGAUAUGA